UACGAGUGCCCCCAAGCGUUAUCCGGAAUCACUGGGCGUAAAGGGUGUGUAGGUGGUUGUAUUAGUCUUUCGUUAAAUUCUUCGGCUUAACCGGGGGCAUGCGAGAGAAACGGUACAACUUGAAGGUGCAAGGGGUGUAUGGAACUCAUGGAGUGGGGGUGAAAUCCGUUGAUAUCAUGGGGAACACCAAAAGCGAAGGCAGUACACUGGUGCAUUCUUGACACUGAAACACGAAAGCGUAGGUAGCGAAUGGGAUUAGAAACCCCGGUAGU
rnacentral:rRNA from 1 species